GGUUGUAGCUCAGUGGUACAGUGCUUGCCUAGCAUGUUUGAAGCCCUGGGUUCAAUUCUCAGCACCA
rnacentral:tRNA from 1 species